GACGAACGCUGGCGGCGUGCUUAGCACAUGCAAGUCGAACGGUGAUGGGUGGAGCUUGCUCUGCUUUGACCAGUGGCGAACGGGUGAGUAACACGUGAGUAACCUGCCCCAGACUCUGGAAUAACCCCGGGAAACCGGUGCUAAUACCGGAUAUGACACAGAAUCGCAUGGUUUCUGUGUGGAAAGUUUUUCGGUUUGGGAUGGACUCGCGGCCUAUCAGCUUGUUGGUGAGGUAAUGGAUCACCAAGGCGACGACGGGUAGCCGGCCUGGGAGGGGGACCGGCCACACGGGGACUGAGACACGGCCCAGACUCCUACGGGAGGCAGCAGUGGGGAAUAUUGCACAAUGGGCGCAAGCCUGAUGCAGCGACGCCGCGUGAGGGAUGAAGGCCUUCGGGUUGUAAACCUCUUUCAGCUCUGAAGAAGCGAAAGUGACGGUAGGAGCAGAAGAAGCACCGGCUAACUACGUGCCAGCCGCCGCCGUAAAAC
rnacentral:rRNA from 1 species